rnacentral:rRNA from 1 species
CCUUGUACACACCGCCCGUCACACCAUGGGAGUGGGUUCUGCCAGAAGUAGUUAGCCUAACCGCAAGGAGGGCGAUUACCACGGCAGGGUUCGUGACUGGGGUG